UUAAGCGACUAAGCGUACACGGUGGAUGCCCUGGCAGUCAGAGGCGAUGAAGGACGUGCUAAUCUGCGAUAAGCGUCGGUAAGGUGAUAUGAACCGUUAUAACCGGCGAUUUCCGAAUGGGGAAACCCAGUGUGAUUCGUCACACUAUCAUUAACUGAAUCCAUAGGUUAAUGAGGCGAACCGGGGGAACUGAAACAUCUAAGUACCCCGAGGAAAAGAAAUCAACCGAGAUUCCCCCAGUAGCGGCGAGCGAACGGGGAGCAGCCCAGAGCCUGAAUCAGUGUGUGUGUUAGUGGAAGCGUCUGGAAAGGCGCGCGAUACAGGGUGACAGCCCCGUACACAAAAAUGCACAUGCUGUGAGCUCGAUGAGUAGGGCGGGACACGUGGUAUCCUGUCUGAAUAUGGGGGGACCAUCCUCCAAGGCUAAAUACUCCUGACUGACCGAUAGUGAACCAGUACCGUGAGGGAAAGGCGAAAAGAACCCCGGCGAGGGGAGUGAAAAAGAACCUGAAACCGUGUACGUACAAGCAGUGGGAGCACGCUUAGGCGUGUGACUGCGUACCUUUUGUAUAAUGGGUCAGCGACUUAUAUUCUGUAGCAAGGUUAACCGAAUAGGGGAGCCGAAGGGAAACCGAGUCUUAACUGGGCGUUAAGUUGCAGGGUAUAGACCCGAAACCCGGUGAUCUAGCCAUGGGCAGGUUGAAGGUUGGGUAACACUAACUGGAGGACCGAACCGACUAAUGUUGAAAAAUUAGCGGAUGACUUGUGGCUGGGGGUGAAAGGCCAAUCAAACCGGGAGAUAGCUGGUUCUCCCCGAAAGCUAUUUAGGUAGCGCCUCGUGAAUUCAUCUCCGGGGGUAGAGCACUGUUUCGGCAAGGGGGUCAUCCCGACUUACCAACCCGAUGCAAACUGCGAAUACCGGAGAAUGUUAUCACGGGAGACACACGGCGGGUGCUAACGUCCGUCGUGAAGAGGGAAACAACCCAGACCGCCAGCUAAGGUCCCAAAGUCAUGGUUAAGUGGGAAACGAUGUGGGAAGGCCCAGACAGCCAGGAUGUUGGCUUAGAAGCAGCCAUCAUUUAAAGAAAGCGUAAUAGCUCACUGGUCGAGUCGGCCUGCGCGGAAGAUGUAACGGGGCUAAACCAUGCACCGAAGCUGCGGCAGCGACGCUUAUGCGUUGUUGGGUAGGGGAGCGUUCUGUAAGCCUGUGAAGGUGUNAUGCUGGAGGUAUCAGAAGUGCGAAUGCUGACAUAAGUAACGAUAAAGCGGGUGAAAAGCCCGCUCGCCGGAAGACCAAGGGUUCCUGUCCAACGUUAAUCGGGGCAGGGUGAGUCGACCCCUAAGGCGAGGCCGAAAGGCGUAGUCGAUGGGAAACAGGUUAAUAUUCCUGUACUUGGUGUUACUGCGAAGGGGGGACGGAGAAGGCUAUGUUGGCCGGGCGACGGUUGUCCCGGUUUAAGCGUGUAGGCUGGUUUUCCAGGCAAAUCCGGAAAAUCAAGGCUGAGGCGUGAUGACGAGGCACUACGGUGCUGAAGCAACAAAUGCCCUGCUUCCAGGAAAAGCCUCUAAGCAUCAGGUAACAUCAAAUCGUACCCCAAACCGACACAGGUGGUCAGGUAGAGAAUACCAAGGCGCUUGAGAGAACUCGGGUGAAGGAACUAGGCAAAAUGGUGCCGUAACUUCGGGAGAAGGCACGCUGAUAUGUAGGUGAAGUCCCUCGCGGAUGGAGCUGAAAUCAGUCGAAGAUACCAGCUGGCUGCAACUGUUUAUUAAAAACACAGCACUGUGCAAACACGAAAGUGGACGUAUACGGUGUGACGCCUGCCCGGUGCCGGAAGGUUAAUUGAUGGGGUCAGCGCAAGCGAAGCUCUUGAUCGAAGCCCCGGUAAACGGCGGCCGUAACUAUAACGGUCCUAAGGUAGCGAAAUUCCUUGUCGGGUAAGUUCCGACCUGCACGAAUGGCGUAAUGAUGGCCAGGCUGUCUCCACCCGAGACUCAGUGAAAUUGAACUCGCUGUGAAGAUGCAGUGUACCCGCGGCAAGACGGAAAGACCCCGUGAACCUUUACUAUAGCUUGACACUGAACAUUGAGCCUUGAUGUGUAGGAUAGGUGGGAGGCUUUGAAGUGUGGACGCCAGUCUGCAUGGAGCCGACCUUGAAAUACCACCCUUUAAUGUUUGAUGUUCUAACGUUGACCCGUAAUCCGGGUUGCGGACAGUGUCUGGUGGGUAGUUUGACUGGGGCGGUCUCCUCCUAAAGAGUAACGGAGGAGCACGAAGGUUGGCUAAUCCUGGUCGGACAUCAGGAGGUUAGUGCAAUGGCAUAAGCCAGCUUGACUGCGAGCGUGACGGCGCGAGCAGGUGCGAAAGCAGGUCAUAGUGAUCCGGUGGUUCUGAAUGGAAGGGCCAUCGCUCAACGGAUAAAAGGUACUCCGGGGAUAACAGGCUGAUACCGCCCAAGAGUUCAUAUCGACGGCGGUGUUUGGCACCUCGAUGUCGGCUCAUCACAUCCUGGGGCUGAAGUAGGUCCCAAGGGUAUGGCUGUUCGCCAUUUAAAGUGGUACGCGAGCUGGGUUUAGAACGUCGUGAGACAGUUCGGUCCCUAUCUGCCGUGGGCGCUGGAGAACUGAGGGGGGCUGCUCCUAGUACGAGAGGACCGGAGUGGACGCAUCACUGGUGUUCGGGUUGUCAUGCCAAUGGCACUGCCCGGUAGCUAAAUGCGGAAGAGAUAAGUGCUGAAAGCAUCUAAGCACGAAACUUGCCCCGAGAUGAGUUCUCCCUGACUCCUUGAGAGUCCUGAAGGAACGUUGAAGACGACGACGUUGAUAGGCCGGGUGUGUAAGCGCAGCGAUGCGUUGAGCUAACCGGUACUAAUGAACCGUGAGGCUUAACCUU
rnacentral:rRNA from 1 species